UACGGGGAGGGCAAGCGUUGUUCGGAAUUACUGGGCGUAAAGGGCUCGUAGGUGGCCAACUAAGUCAGACGUGAAAUCCCCAGGCUUAACCUGGGAACUGCGUCUGAUACUGGAUGGCUAGAGUUUGGGAGAGGGAUGCGGAAUUCCAGGUGUAGCGGUGAAAUGCGUAGAUAUCUGGAGGAACACCGGUGGCGAAGGCGGCAUCCUGGACCAACACUGACGCUGAGGAGCGAAAGCCAGGGGAGUAAACGGG
rnacentral:rRNA from 1 species